CUAGCUCUGUAUCUCAAUAUAAUGGGAGGUGGGGAGCAGAAAAGAGGCCUAUUUUUCUAUGCGUGAUAGUACCAGCUACAAAAUCAUCUAACAAUAUUGUUUACAUCCCGAGAUAAAAGUUGUGGUGAAACCUACAUUCGUUGUUCUGAUGCAUCAUGCAUUCAACUAUUAUUUCACUGUUGUUAUUCUCAAUUUGCGCUCAUCCACCUAACGCCAUACCUGCAAGCAUGUCUUCUGGAGGUUGCAGCCGCUAGCCAGACCGUGACUGAUAUUGACCAUUUUUACCUCAUGCCUAAAAGAUAUCCACCAGCAUCCAUCGAAUCACAAGUUAUCUCGGGCCUUGUCUUCUUUUUGGCCUUCCAAGCAAAUCAGUUUCCAAGUUGAUUGAUGCAGAGGAGUAACCGGCCGACGUAGUGAUGGUACUUUGAAAAGAUAAAUGACGGUUUGGUCUGGGACUCCUUUUAAAGAAACACGGCAAAAGAUUUGUCAUUUUUAUUAACUAGCUGAAUGCCCGUGCAUUGCCACGGAAUAGCAAAUAAAUGCUUGUUUUUUUCCUCAGUAUCUUCAAAGGAAAAACGAAAGAUAAAUAAACCUAAUUUUGAGCUAGCUCUGUAUCUCAAUAUAAUGGGAGGUGGGGAGCAGAAAAGAGGCCUAUUUUUCUAUGCGGUGAUAGUACCAGCUACAAAAUCAUCUAACAAUAUUGUUUACAUCCCGAGAUAAAAGUUGUAGGUGAAACCUACAUUCGUUGUUCUGAUGCAUCAUGCAUUCAACN
rnacentral:lncRNA from 1 species